rnacentral:rRNA from 1 species
CCUACGGGAGGCUGCAGUGGGGAAUAUUGGACAAUGGGGGGAACCCUGAUCCAGCCAUGCCGCGUGUGUGAAGAAGGCCCUCGGGUUGUAAAGCACUUUCAGUGAGGAAGAACGCCUGGUGGUUAAUACCCAUCAGGAAAGACAUCACUCACAGAAGAAGCACCGGCUAACUCCGUGCCAGCAGCCGCGGUAAUACGGAGGGUGCGAGCGUUAAUCGGAAUUACUGGGCAUAAAGCGCGCGUAGGUGGCUUGAUAAGCCGGUUGUGAAAGCCCCGGGCUCAACCUGGGAACGGCAUCCGGAACUGUCAAGCUAGAGUGCAGGAGAGGAAGGUAGAAUUCCCGGUGUAGCGGUGAAAUGCGUAGAGAUCGGGAGGAAUACCAGUGGCGAAGGCGGCCUUCUGGACUGACACUGACACUGAGGUGCGAAAGCGUGGGUAGCAAACAGGAUUAGAUACCCCUGUAGUC